CUAGAACCUCCUUCCAAAGCCAGGAGCAGGGGAAUAGUUCCUGUAUGCUUAGGCAUAGCACAAAGUUGAUGAGGACUAUGAAGGGCCACAAACCUGUUCACAGCCCUGUGCUUCAGAGCCACAGCAGCACGGGCCAUGCCCCUGAGAGGGUCACCAUAAUGAACUCAGAGAAAGCCAGACCCAAGCAGCCUUGGAAUGGGUUCCUGAGUGGACACUACUGUAACUUAGAUAGGAAAGAUCAACCUGAACACCAGUAAAGAGAGAGGACAAACUGUACCAGCUACCACCCCCCAAUUCAUGCCUCGAACUAAAGAUGGCCCCAGAAUGAGACAGAACCUCAUCCAAGGGAGCUGUUUCAACUUGCAAUGCAAUAGGAACUUAGCUUAUGGACUAAAUUUCAUUCCUACGAAAACACUCACCUUUUGCCACAUCAUCAUUGACCCUAACCUAAAGCACAUCAUCAGGAAUGCCCUCUGAGGCUAGGAGCCAAAGGCCUCUUGCUUUAAGAGGAUGGAAACUGCACACUAUUGACCUGUUUUGAAUUCCAAAAACAAUCUGAACCCAAGGUUGAAAGGUCACCUCUGUGACGGUUAAGUUGUUUGUAACGAAGUGAAUUGAAAUGUGUUAAAGGUGAUACUGGGCAAAGCAUCCAGAGCUUCAGAGCUGUUUGCCUUCCAAGAGAGCGCUGGCCCUCCUCCUCCACAAAGUUCCUGUGGUUUGUGCUUGGAAGACUCCUCCUCUGAUAGACCCGUGACAGCCCACAGCAGGAUAAAAGAGAAUGGAAUUUUGCCAUGUUGCCAACGCUGGUCUGAAAUUCUUGGGCUGAAGCAUUUUGCCUGCCUUGGCCUCCCAAAAUGAAUAAACUUUUAAGAGCA
rnacentral:lncRNA from 10 species